rnacentral:rRNA from 1 species
ACUCCUACGGGAGGCAGCAGUGGGGAAUAUUGCACAAUGGGGGAAACCCUGAUGCAGCCAUGCCGCGUGUGUGAAGAAGGCCUUGGUUGUAAAGCACUUUCUAGUAGGGAGGAAGGUAGUGUAGUUAACACCUGCACUAUUUGUACGUUACCUACAGAAGAAGCACCGGCUAACUCCGUGCCAGCAGCCGCGGUAAGUACGGAGGGUGCGAGCGUUAAUCGGAAUUACUGGGCGUAAAGCGCAUGCAGGCGGCCUGUUAAGUCAGAUGUGAAAGCCCGGGGCUUAACCUCGGAAUUGCAUUUGAAACUGGCAGGCUAGAGUCUUGUAGAGGGGUUAGGAAUUUCAGGUGUAGCGGUGAAAUGCGUAGAGAUCUGAAGGAAUACCAGU